UUUCAGCAUCUUAAGUUGCCACGGACGAUUCGUCGUGGAUGAGCCCGAUUGCCGCGGUCAAUUCGAUCCGUAACCCGAUGAACAAUCGCAACAAAGCUUGCUUGCAAGGGGCCGGUGACCGUCGUUGCCACGGCUCGAAUACCUCCUUUUAGACCUAUGGAAAUCGGAGGCCCGCGGCCGCCCCGGCGGCCAUUAGCACGCGACGUAGGGCCCCAUGCGCUUUAUAGUGAGUCGGAUUACCAUGCACGGGCCCUGGUUUUACACUGAGAGGACGACCAGCCACACUGGAACUGAGACACGGUCCAGACUCCUACGGGAGGCAGCAGUGGGGAAUUUUGGACAAUGGGCGCAAGCCUGAUCCAGCAAUGCCGUGUGCAGGAUGAAGGCCUUGCGGUUGUAAACUGCUUUUGUACGGAACGAAACGGUUCUUUCUAAUACAGAGAGCUAAUGACGGUACCGUAAGAAUAAGCACCGGUUACUCCUGCCACAGCCGUGGGAUCUUAUGGGUGCGACGUUAAU
rnacentral:rRNA from 1 species